rnacentral:lncRNA from 1 species
UGUCUAUAACUUUGAGAAGGUACAGAUAACGCUUUCUAAAAUCCUCAGUUCUAGAUAUAUCUCUUUAAAAUCACAAUGACGUUAAUGUCAAGUCUUUUAGCUAUUUCACUGGCCUGAAAAAUAACUCUUUUAACGCGAUCAAGAUAUUUAAAACAAAAGUAACGCGAAGCCAACGUAACGGCAAAGAUAACGCUAAAACGAAAUAUUGUCGAAUGGUUGCAGGUAGAAGACUUACGACAGGAUCAAUCUUAAAUAACCUUAAACUAUAAGAAUAAAUGUUCACAUCAAAGACAAAGAUCAGUCACAAAGUAUAAAAUACGCUCUGUAAACUUACCGCGAAGUGGAGAAAUGUGUGCAUGAGCUGUUUAUUUGAUGAUUUCGACGUAUAUAGAAGCCCUCUUUCCAAUAAUACUCGCUUAUCGCACAGUAUAACACCAACUGAUGUAAUAGUUCAAAUGCAAUGAUAAGUUAUCUCUUGAAUUACGUCUUGGAAACCGUGUUGGAAAUUUCAGUGCUGAUCCAUUACAUAUAGAUUACCGUUUUAUAUCUUUGUAUAAAACAUUUUCAUCGCAUGUAAGGAAUUAUUUCUCAGCCCAGAGACAUAGCCCAAAGACUUAACAUUAACGUCCUUGUGAUUUUAUAGAAAUAGAUCCAGAACUAAGGAUAUUAGAAGGAAUUAUCUGUACCUUCUCAAAGUUGUAGACAAGAUAUGUUGUUUACGUC